rnacentral:rRNA from 1 species
GACGUAGGGGGCAAGCGUUAUUCGGAAUCACUGGGCUUAAAGGGUGCGUAGGCGGCGCGACAAGUUGGGUGUGAAAUCCCUCGGCUCAACCGAGGAACUGCGCCCAAAACUGUCGUGCUCGAGGGAGACAGAGGUGAGCGGAACUUAGGGUGGAGCGGUGAAAUGCGUUGAUAUCCUAAGGAACACCGGUGGCGAAAGCGGCUCACUGGGUCUCUGCUGACGCUGAGGCACGAAAGCUAGGGUAGCGAACGGG